UACGUAGGGGGCAAGCGUUAUCCGGAUUUACUGGGUGUAAAGGGAGCGUAGACGGCAAUGCAAGUCUGAAGUGAAACCCCAAGGCUCAACCAUGGGCAUGCUUUGGAAACUGUGUAGCUAGAGUGCAGGAGAGGCAGGCGGAAUGCGCGGUGUAGCGGUGAAAUGCAUAGAUAUCGCGCAGAACCCCGAUUGCGAAGGCAGCCUGCCGGCCCCACACUGACGCUGAGGCACGAAAGCGUGGGUAUCGAACAGG
rnacentral:rRNA from 1 species